AUUAGACGAAUCAUCUGGAAAGAUGAAUCAAAGAAGGUAAUAAUCCUGUAGUCGAAAAUGUUGUCUCUCUUGAGUGGAUCCUGAGUACGACGGAGCACGUGAAAUUCCGUCGGAAUCUGGGAGGACCAUCUCCUAAGGCUAAAUACUCUCUAGUGACCGAUAGUGAACCAGUACCGUGAGGGAAAGGUGAAAAGCACCCCGGAAGGGGAGUGAAAUAGAACCUGAAACCGUGUGCUUACAAGUAGUCAGAGCCCGUUAAUGGGUGAUGGCGUGCCUUUUGUAGAAUGAACCGGCGAGUUACGAUUUGAUGCAAGGUUAAGCAGUAAAUGUGGAGCCGUAGCGAAAGCGAGUCUGAAUAGGGCGUUUAGUAUUUGGUCGUAGACCCGAAACCAGGUGAUCUACCCUUGGUCAGGUUGAAGUUCAGGUAACACUGAAUGGAGGACCGAACCGACUUACGUUGAAAAGUGAGCGGAUGAACUGAGGGUAGCGGAGAAAUUCCAAUCGAACCUGGAGAUAGCUGGUUCUCUCCGAAAUAGCUUUAGGGCUAGCCUCAAGUGAUGAUUAUUGGAGGUAGAGCACUGUUUGGACGAGGGGCCCCUCUCGGGUUACCGAAUUCAGACAAACUCCGAAUGCCAAUUAAUUUAACUUGGGAGUCAGAACAUGGGUGAUAAGGUCCGUGUUCGAAAGGGAAACAGCCCAGACCACCAGCUAAGGUCCCAAAAUAUAUGUUAAGUGGAAAAGGAUGUGGCGUUGCCCAGACAACUAGGAUGUUGGCUUAGAAGCAGCCAUCAUUUAAAGAGUGCGUAAUAGCUCACUAGUCG
rnacentral:rRNA from 1 species